CAAGAUCAUGACCUGAGCUAAACCAAGAGCUGGACUCUCAAAUGAGUGAGCCACCCAAACACCCCCACAAACUAAUUUUUAUACACAUAGUCUUCGAAGAGUUUUGAGAGAUAACUGAUACUUCAUUGAGACAGUUCCAUAUGACAAGGCUUAUCGACUCUUCAGAUAAAGAACCUAAGAUUUACAAUGCUUGGGAAUGUGCCCAAGUGCACAGGUCUGGAGCAAGAGGCAGCUACCUUUUCUCCUCUUCUUGCAAUGAUAGAGAAAAACCUUUGCUUUAUGGAGAUGGAAUGGGAAAAAAAAAACCCGAGUUCUCACUCUUACCUUUAGAUACAAAUACACCUUUCCCAGUGCCAGACAAGCCCUGAUGUUCCAGGACUCUCGAACCUAGAGAUGUCUCCAAAGUCUCGUUUUCUGUUGACAUGCAAAUAUACACCUCUUGAUUUAGCUAAAUUUCUCUGGACUUAUAACUUCCCAAGGCUUGUUCUUAUGCUAGGAUCCCAAAUGUAAGCAACAUUUUUUUCAUGAAUCUCCAGCUCUGGCAGGAAUACAUUUUC